CUACACAUGCAAGUCGAGCGAGGAAGCCCUUUCGGGGGUGGAAUAGCGGCGGACGGGUGAGUAACACGUGGGUAACCUGCCUCAAAGAGGGGGAUAGCCUCCCGAAAGGGAGAUUAAUACCGCAUAGAAGGUAAAAACCGCAUGGAGGAUACCUUAAAGGAGAAAUCCGCUUUGAGAUGGGCCCGCGUCGCAUUAGCUAGUUGGAGGGAUAAAAGCCCCCCAAGGCGACGAUGCGUAGCCGACCUGAGAGGGUGAACGGCCACAUUGGAACUGAGAAACGGUCCAGACUCCUACGGGAGGCAGCAGUGGGGAAUAUUGCACAAUGGGCGAAAGCCUGAUGCAGCAACGCCGCGUGAGUGAAGAAGGUUUUCGGAUCGUAAAGCUCUGUCAUCCGGGACGAUAAUGACGGUACCGGAAGAGGAAGCCACGGCUAACUACGUGCCAGCAGCCGCGGUAAUACGUAGGUGGCGAGCGUUGUCCGGAAUUACUGGGCGUAAAGGGUGUGCAGGCGGAUAUUUAAGUGAGAUGUGAAAGACCCGGGCUUAACCCGGGCAGUGCAUUUCAAACUGGAUAUCUAGAGUGCAGGAGAGGAGAACGGAAUUCCUAGUGUAGCGGUGAAAUGCGUAGAGAUUAGGAAGAACACCAGUGGCGAAGGCGGUUCUCUGGACUGUAACUGACGCUGAGGCACGAAAGCGUGGGUAGCAAACAGGAUUAGAUACCCUGGUAGUCCACGCCGUAAACGA
rnacentral:rRNA from 1 species